rnacentral:lncRNA from 1 species
CCUCAUUUUUGGUGCCAAUGAAAGAGCUUGAUUUGCCUGCCAAAAUCAAGUAAUAGAUAAAAUGAUAAAUUAAUGAUUCCAUCUAAUCACACAUGCACACUUAGAAAGAAAAGAUGUAUUUUUUUCAUGGUGGUGUCAACUGGAUUAUCAAGUUGUUGGAGUACAACAAUGACAAAAGAAUGUUCUAUUGGUCAUCCAGUUUGAUGAUGUUCAGUAAUCUUCUUUGAGCAUCUCAAUGAUGAACCGUGAGAAGAAAAAAUGAUAGAAGUUGGAAUCAUACGCUUUCUUUGGGAAUUAGGGCAUUCCCAAGAAUCGGACUGAAAUUUGUGCAUUUAUCAACAAGUUACCCAUUAGAAAUAAAGCAAUGACUAUUGAAAAGGGAGAAAAUAAUGAGGGAAAUUCAAUACAUAUAUCUAAGUAACAUCCUACGUGCAUUCUCUUUUAUAUCCGCAAGUUAAAUAAAUCUCAUAUCUCUACUUCUAUUGUAGCUUUAUCUUUUUACUCUUUGGCCUAUUUUAUAUUUCUUCUGAGUAUUGUCUUACUAUGCUAAUUUGCAACCCAUCAUGAUUCAAAAUGCAUAAUCAUGAAUCGGUUCUUGCUAACUGGUUAGGAGUACACAGAACAGAAGAUAUGAGUGAAUUAUAGGGGUGUUCGCGGUCCAUUUGGAUCGGUUUUUAGACAAAAAAUGAUCCGAUCCAAACACGUAAUUAACAUGCGGUCUGGAUCGGUCUGGUCUAUUUAUAUUAAGAUGUCCGAUCCAAUCCGAUCCAAAUAUAAUAUGCGGUUUCGGUUCGGUUUGGAUUGGUUUUUUUUAUAAAAUAUUAAAAUUACACUUAUAUUCAAAACUCAUAAAAAUGACUAAAUAUUAAGCAUAAAACAACAAUAAAAAUAGUGUUCAACAACAUUAAAAUAUGUACAACAAUAGUAUAAGUAAACAACAUCAUAAAGUAGUAAUAAACAAUAAGACAAUAAUAAUAAAAGUAUAAAAUAGUAACAACAACAACAAGAUAUCAAUAAUAACAAGACAACAAAACAACAAGAUAUCAAUAAUAAUAAUAUGAGCAUCGGUAACGUAAUUUUAAUAGUUACAAUAUUCCACCGAUGAUUAAUAACAAUAAUACUUUCACAACAAUAAUACUUGAAUCCUCUUUAUUUGGUUAUGGGAUUGAUUUAAGUUCUAAAAAAGUGUAUCAAAUAUAAUCAAUAUGAUUUAAAACAUAGCAACAUAUAUAAGUGUGUUAUAGAAUAUAACACCUAAAAUAUAGGUACAAUUUUGGAGUUGCGACUUAAGAUUAAGUUUGGAAGACACUUAAAAGUAUUACACACUUAAAUUUUACAUACAAUUUUGGUCCGGUCUGGAUCCAAGAGGUGAAACCAAAAUCCGGACCGGACCAAUCGGUCUUUAAAAAAUAAGUCCAACACGGUCCAAAUGCAUUCGGUUUUUGCGGUUUCGGUCUAUUUUGGAUCAGUUUUCGGUUUUAUUGUUGGACCGGUCUGGAUUUGAACACCCGUAGUGAAUUAUACCACUAGGAUAGAUAGGUCAUUAUAAAGGGGAGGGAUCCACUUACUCCAAGAGUAAGUUUUUUAAACUUAUUCCUCAUCCUAACUCUUAAUUCUAGAGAAAUUCAAUGAUUUGAAUUAAUGAGUAGAUCUAAAUUAUUAAAUGCUCAUAGAAUGGAUGGCUAUAAUGAGAAAUAAAUUUAAAAAAUUUACUCUUGGAAUAUGAAGAUCCUCAUUCCAUAUAAAUUUCAUUAUCACUAUAUUUGCAACAUGAUUCUUAAAAAUGUGGAGGCACAAACACUAAAUAGUUAUAUAUUUUUAUAUAUUUGGAGAGCAAUAACUGGCAUUAAAAUUGCCUCAACUCUCAACAUGAAAGCAUCUUAAGAUAAAAGCAAUUGUUCUCUUUAACAUUCAUUAGCUAUGAUAGUGUUCCUAUAACACAUACUAAAAUAAUCAGUGAAAGACCCAGGAAUUCACCAUGUGUAUUAGAAAUCAAACAGUAAGAAAAGAAUGUGGAAAUUGAUUUUAUUCUCAUUAAUUGACAUAUGAAGUCGAUAUGACUUAUUUAUACAUAUGAAAUGGCAUAUGAUCCAAGCAAAAAUGAUACAAAGGUAAAAAACUAACUAGCUAGGUUCCUAAUAAGCUAACCAACUUCUAAAAUAUAUUUCAUACCCCCUCAAGCUGGUGAGUGAAAUUUUUUAACUCUCAGCUUUGAAUCUUGAUUUCAAGCAAUAAUAACGUUUAACCACCCAUAACAAAAACAAUAUCAUCCAACACUUAACCAUUCAUGGUAAAAACUAUAUCUUAACUUAACCAUCAUGGAAAGAAGAAAAUCAUUCAUGGCAGAAGUUAUAUUUAAGUUUAACCACCAUGGGUAGAAGCAACCCAACCAUUAAUGACGAAAGAAAGAAAAAUGGAUCGGAAUUUUGAUGCAAAUAUGCAGCUUCAUUGAUGUAAAAUACACACUAUAAUGAUAUUAUGUGUUUGUGAGAGAGAUAAGAAAUUGAGUAGAAAUAAGUUGAUAUGCCUUAUCAAGUAAACCAGCACUACCCAAGAGAUCAACCAUGCAUCCAUAAUGAUGGAUAUUGGGAGUUAUCCCAAACUCUCUGCCCAUACGUUAAAAAAAAGACAUUUCCUCAUGCAUUUGCUUCACUUUCCUUACCAUAUUGGUGAGUAUUAAAAUUCUUUUCCUUUGAAACAAAGCACUCUGAUCUGUUUCUCCUUCCAUUUCUUGAUAUUCCACCAGAAAAUCUUCAAGAAAUAGCAAAUUUGUCAGCUCUUCUGUCAAUCCAUUAAUCUCAGAAUUCUGAAAUCCAUUCCUAUCACUUUUAUUUUCUACCUGAAAGCUGAAGAUGUAUCUGAGUAUCAACCCCAAGGAAUAAAACACAUAGUUCAAGAAGAAAAUUGGCAAACAAGCCAAGGUUCAAAGCAUGUUUCCAAUAACAAGAUCACUCAUAAACCAUAUAUUGAUUGAUUCUAUAUGUGCUUUGAGCAUAACAAGAUUCUUGGCACCCAUCACUGUUCAAUUAAUUCCAAUCUACACCUCUGAUAAUGUUUUUUUUUUUAAUUUCCUAAAAAUUUCAGAGCAAAUUAUAAGGAAAAGAAAACCUGGGGCUUGAAAAUUUUCCCAUCAAAGAUUCAUGAUGAGGUAGUGAGAUCUGCCCACUAGUGCCCAUAAAAUUCAGUGGUAGAAUAUGAUUUGGACAUAAUUUGAUUUUGGACCAAAAGAAUGAGAGGAUUGUGCAGUGACGAGCACCACGCUUCCUUGGGAGAAAUCCAAGAGAAACGUGUCUUAGGUGUUCAGACUUAGACAUUCUUCCCCUCCUGAAGUUGCUCCUGCAGCUACUGAAAUGCGAAGCUCAAAGGCAGUGAAUCUUGCAAAUAAAGAGUAGAAACCAAAGUACUGAGUAACCCAAUAUGCCAAUAAAGUAUUGGAAUAGACCAUACACCCCAUUGAUUCAGCUGUGGAGAAACCACUGCCUUCUCUAGCAUCACUGAUUCUUGAAGAUAGUGAUAGAUAAGAAAGUUGAUCUUGAGGGAGGUAAUGGAAGUCAACUUUAAAAAGAAAGAUUCAGGCCAAAUCAUAACAUAGAUGUAGAAGAUGCAUUAAGGCUACACCAUAAACUACAAUAAAGUUUACUGGUUCAUCAUCCUUGGAUGAUGAUAAAAGGAAAAGGAAAGGAUAAAGGCAUAAGCGGAGGUCAUUAAAUGUAUAAUUAUUGUUCUAAUAUCAUAUUAGAAAUCAAAGAGUAAGAAGAGAAUGUGGAAAUUGAUCUUAUUCUCGCUAAUUGAAAUGUGAAAUCAAUAUGACUUAUUUAUAUAAAUAGAAUGACCUGUGAUCCAAGGGAAAAUGAUACAAAAUUAAAAAAACUAGCUAACUAGCUUAGUGAUCACCUAAUCACCUUCUAAAAUAUCUUCAAUAAUGUGAGACAACAUAUAUAUGAAUUAAUAUCAUGCUUAUCAAAUAUAACAUACAAAAAUAUUCAUUAAGGGGAAGAUGGUUAAUCUGAUUUUGAUUUUGAUUUUUAUUGUAAUUGAUGCACUAAAUUUUACAUGGAUGGUUGCUCUGAUGUUAAUUUUCUUCUAAAAUAUUUUUUUAUUGUUAGAACUACAAAUCAAUAUAAGGAUAACUAUAAUUAACCAUGACAUAUAGAUAUGCAAAAUAGAAAAAGAUAGAGUAAAGAGAAUUAUAAAAGGUAAAGUAAAAUCCACAAAUUCAAAAAUGAAUUUAACCUAUUAUUACAAAAAUAAUGACAAUUUUAUAAAAGACAAAAUGCCCAACCUAACCUUGAAGAGUUGAAGCUUAAAAGCAUGCUCAAGAUAAAAUGGCCAACCUAACCUAAACAUGUUCUUAUACAGAUUAGAUAAAUAAAAAAUGAAAUUUUGUGAGUGCACUUAUCUUAUGUGAUAUCUAUGUACUUCUUCAUAAUUUUAUAUAAUAUAAAGUAUGCUUAAAUAGUAGCCGAUAUGAAAAGACAAUUUAUUUUAACAAUCUCUAACUAGAAAAUAUGAGAGAUAGUUGUUAAGCUUGAUAUAUUCUGACUUGUUGUCUACUUCUUGCAGGGUACAACAGAAGCACUAUGACAUGCACUAGAAUGAUGAGGAACUUGAGCAUAGGAUUGAGCAGCAUGAGGAGCUUAGCAUGGAAUGCAUCGUGAAGAUGGAAAGCUUGAAGGCAUACAUCAUAAGCUUAAAGAAUAUGGUCCUUUAGUCAAGUAUGGUGAUCAAAUAUCAUUAACCAAAGCACACAUUAAUGAUCAUGCCUUAGUUAAAUUGUAUGGGCAAAUACAUCAAUCAUGGUCGAAUUGCAUAACUGAAAUUCACCAAAAUAAGACAAGACACUCAGCCUUAAUUCAUGAAUACAAGGGUAGACAUAGCCUCGGUCAGAUUGGGAGGACCAUGAUGCAUCAACAUUUCAGCCAAGUUUUACUUGUGCAUCAAGGCAUUUGUAUUUGCAUUUUCAUUUUUGUAGUUAUUGUUAUAGGAAUUUUGUUAUGGAUAAGUUAGUUAUUUGAGUUAGUUAAGUUUGUUUUAUUUUCCAAUGAUAUAUUUAAUCAAUCAUUGCUUGUACAUUGAGAUCAAUCUAAUGAGAAUUAUAUUUUGAAGUUCAAUAUUUUUUUCCAAUCUUUCUUCAUUCUCUCUUCUCUUUGUGAUUCAAGAACAAAGCCAUGGAUGUCAUUUUCAUAAGAUGGUAUCAGAGCAUCUAUUGAUGCUCUACUACACCCUUGUUUUUCAUCUCUUAUUUAUGUUUCUAUCCCUAUCCUAUUUCACCAUCUUCUUUCCUUUUUCGUUAUGGCUAAUGGUGUCACCAUUCUCAACCCCUUCAAUGACCCUACCAGUCCCUUCUAUAUGCAUCCCAAUGAAAACCCAGGGUUUGCUCUGGUUACUCACCCUCUAACAGGAAAUAACUAUCACUCCUGGUCCAAGGCAAUGAAGAUGGCUUUGAAGACCAAGAACAAGCUUCAAUUCAUAGAUGGAUCACUACCCAAACCAACAUCCAUUGAUCCAUCCUUUGCAGUAUGGGAUAGAUUCAACAUACUAGUACUCUCAUGGAUAAAUCAAUCCAUUGAUCAAUCAAUUCUUGAAAGUGUCUUCUGGUAUGAAUCAUCUUUUGAAGUCUAGAAGGAUCUGAAGGAAAGGUAUUACCAAGGUGAUGUUUUUCGAAUUUGCAAUGUUCAAGAAGAAAUUUAUGGUGUUAGACAGUGAAAUAGAUCUAUUGAUGCUUACUAUACUCAUCUAAAAGGAUUAUGGCAGGAACUAGAUAACUUUAGGCCUAUUCCUUGUUGCCCAAUCCAAUGUGAUUCUAAUCUUGCUAAUCUUGUUAGAUCCUAUAGAGAGAAUGACUAUGUCAUUAGAUUCUUAAGGGGACUUAAUGAGCAAUACUCUGUUGUUAGGUCCCAAAUCAUGUUCAUGGAGCCUUUGUCCUCCAUAAACAAGGCAUUUUUCCCGGCUUAUCCAACAAGAAACUGAAAUGAUGCCAAUUAACAACCCUCUUUGUGACACUAAAAUCCUUGCCAACACUGCUAAUGAAAUUAAUAAUAGAGCAAGAUUUAGAGGAAGGGGAUACUCUUCCAAUAUUGGAAUAGGAAAGGGGUAUGGUUUCACAAUGGGAGAGGAAGAGGCUCUUCAAACACUAAAGUGUGUUCUUUCUGCAACAAAACUAGGCACAUUAUGGACACAUGUUAUAAGAAACAUGGCCUCCCUCCUCAUUUCAAGAAAGCCAAUAAUAUCAAUAAUAUUGUUCGUUCUAGUGAAGAAGAGACUCAAAGCAUUAAAGAAGGCCUAGAGGUGUUCACUACAGAACAGCAUAAGGCCAUUAUGACCAUGAUCAAAAAACCUGUCAAUCAUCAAGUUAACCAAAUCACUAACUAGGUCACUAGUGUGGACUCUCUCAAUACAGGUAACUCUAAUAUAAUGAAUUGCACUACAAAAUCUAAGGACUCGGUCCUUGAUACUGGAGCAACAAAUCAUGUUUGCUUCAAUUUGUAUGAAUUUCAAUCUUAUAUGAGAAUUGGCCCUAUACAAAUUAGGCUGCCCAAUGGUAGUGAGGUCAUGAGCACUAUUGCUGGAACUGUCAUGUUUUCGAAAGACCUUUGUUUAAGCAAUGUGCUUUACAUAUCCAACUUCACUUUCAAUCUGAUUUAUGUACUAGCUUGACCUCAACCUUAAAUUGCAAAUUAACUUUCACCAACUCCAAAUGUGUGAUGCAGGAGAAAUCCACAUUGAGGAUGAUUGGUGCAGCUGAGGCAAAAAGGGGUUUAUACAUCAUCAAUUCUGAAAAAUUAUCUUUUAGCCUAAGUAAUUGCAUAGAUGUUGUUGAAAAUAAUGGAACCAAUGAUAUUGACAAUAAUGAUCUAUGACAUAAGAUAUUAGGCCAUCCCUCUAAUGCCAAGCUUUCUACUUUGAAUAAGAUGUUUUCUUUCAUUCAUCAUAGAAAAGAUAAUGUGCCUUGUGAUGUUUGUCAUUAUGCUAAACAAAGAAAACUUACCUUUAAAACUAACACAACUAAGUCUACUCACAUCUUUGAUCUCAUUCAUAUUGACAUAUGGGCCCCUAUAUCUAUUCCUUCAAUCUUAGGACAUAGAUAUUUUCUCACUAUAGUUGAUGACAAGUCAAGACACACCUAAUUAUUUUUUAUGAAAACAAAAUCAGAAACUUCUUUACUUGUAAAAUCCUUUGUCAAUAUGAUCUGAUAAUGGCCCUGAGUUUAAUCUGAGUGAUUUCUAUGAUUCCAAAGGCAUAAUUCAUCAAACUAGUUGUGUGGAAACUCCUCAACAAAAUGGAGUUGUUGAGAGAAAACAUCAACACAUAUUAGGUGUUACUAGAGCCUUAAUGUACCAAUCUGCUAUGCCAAAAUGCUUCUAGAAUUAUGGAGUUGCCCAUGAUGUCUAUCUUAUCAAUGGACAACCUUUCACUUAUCUCAACAACAGAUUUCCCUAUGAGAUUCUCUAUAACCAUGAACCAAAUCUAUUGAACCUUAAAAGUUUUGGAUGUCUCUGCUUUGCUUCUAUCCUAAGCAACAAUAGAAAGAAGCUUGAUCCUAGAGCAAGGAAAUGUGUGUUCAUAGGAUUUAAGCAUGAGGUAAAGGGAUACAUACUAUUUGAUUGCAUGACUAAGGAAAUUUUCUUGUUUAGAAAUGUGAAGUUUUAUGAAAAUGUUUUCCCUUUCACCAAUAAUAAUGAUCAGUCUAAUGAAGAUAUAUCUCUUCCUACAUCUUCUUUCAAUAUCAAAGAUCAUUAUCUUGGUCAUGAUUGCAUACCUGCUUUACCUGUCAUGGAUGAAAAUAAUAAUUCCGUUGUUACUGCUUCUGACAAUGAUAUACCUGACUUAAAUGAUUGUGAUGAAUGUAUGGAUUAAAACAACAAUAGAAAUGAAAAUUUGAGAAGGUCAUCUAGGGAAAGAACUAUCCAUACCUACCUAAGAGAUUAUCAUUUGUCUCUAGGAGCUUCUGCACCCUUAAGAGCCAAGAAGGAAGUUCAGCAUCCCUUAGACCAAGUCAUAUCCUAUGAAAGGCUCUCUUGUAGUCAGAAAAACUAUUAGUCUGACCAUUAGCUCUAACAUUGAACCAGAAAGUUAUAGUGAAGCCAUUAAGCAUCCUUAGUGGGUUGAAGCCAUUAGAACUGAGUUAAAAUCUCUUGAAGAAAACAACGGUUGGGUUCUAACAGAACUUCCAGAAGAUAAAAGAGACAUAGGCUGCAAAUGGAUUUGUAAGAUUAAGCAUCAUGCUGAUGGUAGUAUUGAAAGGCAUAAGGCUAUAUUAGUUGCAAAAGGGUAUAUUCAUACUGCAGGAAUUGAUUACCUUGACACUUUUAGCCCUGUAGUAAAAAUAACCACCAUCAGAACCAUAAUUGCCUUAGCCUCUAUGAAAGGAUGACAUCUACAUUAGUUGGAUGUUAAUACAGUUUUUCUACAUGGUGAUCUAAUUGAAAAGGUUUAUAUGAACCUUCAUCCUGGCCUUGAAAUUCCUAAUGACGCUCUUGUUUGUAAGUUAGAAAAGUCUUUGUAUAGUUUAAAGCAAGCAAGUAGGCAGUGGAAUGCCAAACUCACUGUUGUUUUGAUUCAAUCUGGCAAUGCUCAAUCCAGAGCAGAUUAUUCUCUUUUUACCAAGAUAAAUGGUGAUGAUUAUACUAUUAUCCUUGUAUAUGUAGAUUACCUUAUUGUUGCAGGAAAUAAUCUAAAAGAAAUAGAAAACAUUAAGCAUCUGCUUGACAGAAAAUUUAGCAUCAAAGACCUUAGAAGUUUGAAAUAUUUCCUUAGUAUGGAAGUGGCAAGGAACAAAACUAAAAUCAACUUAUAUCAAAGGAAGUAUGCUUUGGAUUUGCUUCAGGAAUUUGGUUUGUUAGCUUGUAAACCUUCAUCUAGUCCUAUGGACAACAAUGCUAAACUACAUAGCAAUUUUGGUCCCUUGUAUUGUGACAUUACUUCAUAUAGAAGAUUAAUUGGUAAGCUUGUCUACCUCACUCACACUAGACCUGAUGUUUCCUUCCAUGUUGGACACCUAAGUCAAUUCUUAGCAGCACCUAUUGUUGCUCAUUAUAAAGCUGCUCAAAGAAUACUUAGAUACAUAAAGGGAUCCCCAAGGAAAGGAUUAUUUUUUCCUACUGAAAACAUUGUCUCUUUAAAGGGAUAUAGUGACUCAGAUUGGGCUUCUUGUCUUGACACAAGAAGAUCUGUCACUGGCUAUUGUUUCUUUCUUGGAGAUGCCUUAAUCUCAUGGAAAAGUAAUAGGCAAAGGACUGUGUCAAAGUCUUCUACUGAAGCUUAGUAUAGAGCCUUAACUUUAACUGGUUGUGAGGCACAAUGGUUAAUUUAUAUGCUUGAUGAUUUAAAGCUUUCUCAUAUAGGUCCUAUGGUAUUGUAUUGUGAUAAUCAAUCAGCUUUGCAUAUAGCUGCCAAUCCUGUGUUCCAUGAGAGGACUAAGCACAUUGAAAUGGAUUGUCAUUCUAUUAGAGAGAAGGUGUUGGAUGGUGUAGUGCAUAUGCUACCUAUUUCUAUCCAAGAACAAGUGGCUAACAUCUUUACCAAGGCUCAAUCCCCUACCAUUUUUUCUAAAAAUCUGUCCAAACUUGGAUUGUGUAAUAUACACAUUCCAACUUGUGGGGGAUGUUAAACUUGAUAUAUUCUGACUUAUUGCCUACUUCUUGCAGGGUACAACAUAAGCACUAUGACAUGCACCAGAAUGAUGAGGAACUUGAGCAUAGGAUUGAGGAGCAUAAGGAGCUUAGCAUUGGAAUGUAACAUGAAGAUGGAAAGCUUGAAGAAUAUGGUCCUUUAGUCAAGUAUGGUGAUCAAAGAUCAUUAACCAAAGCACACAUUGAUGAUCAUGCCUUAGUUAAAUUGUAUGGGAAGAUACAUCAACCAUGGUUGAAAUGCAUAACUGAAAUUCAUCAAAAUAAGACAAGACACUCAACCUUGAUCCAUGAAUACAAGGGUAGACAUGACCUCGGUCAGAUUGGGAGGACCAUGAUGCAUCAACAUUUCAUCCAAGUUUUACUGUGCAGCAAUGCAUUUGUAUUUGCAUUUUUGUAGUUAUUGUCUAUGAAACACAGAUACGGAUACGUAUCCGAUACGUCGACACGUAUUUUUUUUAAAAUGUAGGAUACGAUACGUUCAGGGAUACGCGUAUAAAUUAAUAAAAAAUACAUAAAAUAUGAUAAUAAAAUAUGAUAAAAUUAUAAGUGUAAAUCCUCUUCUUCUCUCCUACCCUCUUUCUUCUCUUCUCUAUUAAGAAAUAAAGGUAAGUCCUUUAUUUAUCUUCUCUAUUAAUACUCACACAUCCUCUUCUCUUUAUAAACAUACUAAGCGAAAAGAAACUAAGAAAUAAGAAAGGUAAGCUUUUUUCUAUUUGCUCUUCACAAUAUACCUAUGGCGGUAGAGGCAGUAACACUAAGCACCGGCCGACGACAUUAUGGAUAAGAAAGUACUAGUUAUUCGAGGGUCAAUGUGGUGUAAUGGUAAGUUGGUAUGAUGUGACUUUUAAAUAAGUGAGUGUUUAUUGAAAACAAAUCUAUCUUAUCAUAAAAACGAAUCUAUAUAUCCUAUAUUUUAUUGAAAACGAAUCUGAUACGUGUCUUGAUAUUUUAUUUUAUUUUUUAUUUUUAGAUACUCUAUGGACACGUAUCCUUCGUGAAUCUGAGUGUAUCCGUGUCGGAUACGUGUCAGACACGACACGCGAGGGUAUUUGGCGAAUUCGUGCUUCAUAGGUUAUUGUUAUAGGAAUUCUGUUAUGGAUAAGUUAGUUUUUGAUUUAGUUAAGUUUGUUUUGUUUCCCAAGGAUGUAUUUAAUCAAUCAUUGCUUGUACAUUGAGAUCAAUCUAAUCAGAAUUAUUUUGAAGUUCAAUAUUUCUUCCAAUAUUUCUUCAUUCUCUCUUCUCUUUAUCAUUCAAGAACAAAGCCAUGGAUGCCAUUUUUAUAAGAAUAGUCAAACAUAUAUUUAAUAUUCUAAUCUCCAACUUGAAUAUAAUAAAGAAAAUGGAAAAAAAUUAUUCCUUUUCAUGAAGGGACAAGAAUAAACAACCACAAAGUUCAUAUAUGCUAAAAUAAAAGCUAAGAAAUUAAUAUAAUAUUGAGAAACAAAAGAGAGCGGAUAGCAUGCAUGACUUACCUGAUUGUUGAGUGAAGCAAAAUAGGAGGAAUCCUCAAUGACUUCAUCAAUCUGCUUCUUUUUUGUUUCCCCUAUAUUGUUGUUUGUUCUUUCUUUUUGUUGUUCAUUGUUUUUUGGUUCAGUUGGUCUCUCCCUUUUUCCCUUAGGCUACAUGUUACGGUUGGUAAUGUUGUUAGACAAAGAGAAUACAAAAAUUAACAACACUUCACUUUCUCCGCAAUAAUGGAGUAGUGUGAAAAAUAUUUCCAAAAUAUCUGAAUUUAAAUAAUGAUAUAUAAAUAUUAUGGAUGAUAUAUGAAACAAUGUAUCAGAUGGUCCGUUGGUUGUGUACAUUGGCACAUUUUUUGAAUGAUACUACAUAUAUUUACAUACCUCAAGUUCGAGAUUGUGAAGAUUAUGCAGAAUUUUAAACUGAUAUUGUGAAUAUAUGCUAAAAGUAUAAUAAAUCUUCUUCUUACCCUUUAUUAUGCAAUUUUUCUUUUGAUAGUAAAGGAAAUUUCAU